rnacentral:rRNA from 1 species
GGGAAUUUUCCGCAAUGGGCGAAAGCCUGACGGAGCAAUACCGCGUGAGGGAUGACGGCCUAUGGGUUGUAAACCUCUUUUUUCAGGGAGGAAUCAAUGACGUGUACCUGAAGAAUAAGCAUCGGCUAACUCCGUGCCAGCAGCCGCGGUAAGACGGAGGAUGCAAGUGUUAUCCGGAAUCACUGGGCGUAAAGCGUCUGUAGGUGGUUUGAUAAGUCAACUGUUAAAUCUUGAGGCUCAACCUCAAAAUCGCAGUCGAAACUAUUAGACUAGAGUAUAGUAGGGGUAAAGGGAAUUUCCAGUGGAGCGGUGAAAUGCGUAGAGAUUGGAAAGAACACCGAUGGCGAAGGCACUUUACUGGGCUAUUACUAACACUCAGAGACGAAAGCUAGGGUAGCAAAUGGGAUUAGAUACCCCAGUAGUCAA